rnacentral:rRNA from 1 species
UGAACCUGCGGAAGGAUCAUUACCGAGUUGAUUCGAGCUCCGGCUCGACUCUCCCACCCAAUGUGUACCUACCUCUGUUGCUUUGGCGGGCCGCGGUCCUCCGCACCGGCGCCCUUCGGGGGGCUGGCCAGCGCCCGCCAGAGGACCAUAAAACUCCAGUCAGUGAACUUCGCAGUCUGAAAAACAAGUUAAUAAACUAAAACUUUCAACAACGGAUCUCUUGGUUCUGGCAUCGAUGAAGAACGCAGCGAAAUGCGAUAAGUAAUGUGAAUUGCAGAAUUCAGUGAAUCAUCGAAUCUUUGAACGCACAUUGCGCCCCUUGGUAUUCCGAGGGGCAUGCCUGUUCGAGCGUCAUUUCAACCCUCAAGCUCUGCUUGGUAUUGGGCCUCGUCCUCCACGGACGCGCCUUAAAGACCUCGGCGGUGGCGUCUUGCCUCAAGCGUAGUAGAAAACACCUCGCUUUGGAGCGCACGGCGUCGCCCGCCGGACGAACCUUUGAAUUAUUUCUCAAGGUUGACCUCGGAUCAGGUAGGGAUACCCGCUGAACUUAAGCAUAUCAAUAAGCC